CACGCCGUAAACGAUGAGUGCUAAGUGUUGGAGGGUUUCCGCCCUUCAGUGCUGCAGCUAACGCAUUAAGCACUCCGCCUGGGGAGUACGGUCGCAAGACUGAAACUCAAAGGAAUUGACGGGGGCCCGCACAAGCGGUGGAGCAUGUGGUUUAAUUCGAAGCAACGCGAAGAACCUUACCAGGUCUUGACAUCCUCUGACAAUCCUAGAGAUAGGACUUCCUCUUCGGAGGCAGAGUGACAGGUGG
rnacentral:rRNA from 1 species